CCUGGUGGCUUAGUGGUAAAGAAUCUGCCUGCCAUGCAGGAGGUGCAGGUUCCACCUCUGCGUCAGGA
rnacentral:tRNA from 1 species